AAACCUCUCCGCAUCACCAACCCAAAGAUCCUACUUUUCUGUUCUGCGUUUGCAAUGCAAAUUAAGUUUGCAUGAUUAUAUAUAUGUAUUGACUGCGACAGUGAAGUGUAAAUGCAAUUUGGUUCCUGGUAAGAGGCUGCUCCAUGGCUGGUAAGUAGUGCAGCAAAGGUAUAGAACUCUGAUUCAAGUGACAAGGAAUACUUGCUGCAAUAUGCAAUAUAGUGGCUAGAUAUGCGUUCAUGGUUGGUUGGUUCGUAGACAGAAACCACCAUUGUGGGGUAGAUGCUAAAAGAGUUGCUUAUAAGAAAUUUUAAGGAUGCUUGUUUUCUGGAUCUUGUUGGGAUGAUGGUCUUGCUCUACUAGAGAAAACACCAAGCUUUCCUUCUCUUCUUUUUUGGUCGUGGUUAUCGAGAACUGUAAUUGGGAGUUUCAGCAUUUUGUUUAAGUGGUGAUUUGUAGAAUAUUUCUGGAUUAUAGAUUGGUCGUGAUUUGGAGAACUUGGUUUCAUGGUAAUGAGAGAGAUUGAUACCAUAAUGCUAUGCUACGGCAGU
rnacentral:sRNA from 1 species